CCCUGACAACCUCUAUAAACCCAGAGAAAGACACUACUGGACCACCCAAAUGUUAAUUUUUAUAAUAUGGAAAUUCCUCAUUGUAUAAUUACAUCAUAGCCGAGUUCCACAUGCCUAGAACUAUACCCAUGUGUCAAGAUAGCCGUAACUUUCGUGCUGUGCCGGCCACAACUCUGAGACAAGAUGGUGAAGGUCGGAGUGAACGGAUUCGGCCACAUCGGGCGCCUGGUCACCAGGGCUGCUUUUAAUUCUGGCAAAGUGGACAUCGUUGCCAUCAAUGACCCCUUCACUGACCUUCACUAUAUGGUCUACAUGUUCCAGUAUGAUUCCACCCAUGGCAAGUUCCACUGCACAGUCAAGGCGGAGAAUGGGAAGCUCGUCAUCCAUGGAAAGGCCACCACCAUCUUCCAGGAGCAAGAUCCCGCCAACAUCAAGUGGGGUGAUGCUGGUGCUGAGUACGUGGUGGACUCCACUGGGGUCUUCACUACCAAGGAGAAGGCUGGGGCUCACUUGAAGGGUGGCUCCAAGAGGGUCAUCAUCUCUGCACCUUCUGCCGAUGCCCCCAUGUUUGUGAUGGGCGUGAACCACGAGAAAUAUAACAACACCAUCAAGAUUGUCAGCAAUGCCUCCUGCACCACCAACUGCUUGGCCCCCCUGGCCAAGGUCAUUCAUGAACACUUCGGCAUCAUGGAGGGACUCGUGACCACCGUCCACGUCAUCACUGCCACCUAGAAGACUGUGGAUGGCCCCUCCAGGAAACUGUGGUGUGAUGGCCGAGGGGCUGCCCAGAACAUCAUUCCUGCUUCUACUGGCGUUGCCAAGGCCAUGGGCAAGGUCAUCCCUGAGCUCAAUAGGAAGCUCACUGGCAUGGCCUUCUGCGUCCCCACCCCCAACGUGUCCCUCGUGGGUCUGACCUGCCGCCUGGAGAAACCUGCCAACUAUGAUGAGAUCAAGAAGGUGGUCAAGCAGGCAUCAGAGGGCCCUCUGAAGGGCAUUCUAGGCUACACUGAGGACCAGGUUGUCUCCUGCGACUUCAACAGCGUCACUCACUCUUCUACCUUCGAUGCUGGAGCUGGCAUUGCCCUCAAAGACCACUUUGUCAAGAUAAUUUCCUGGUACGACAGUGAAUUUGGCUACAGCAACAGGGUGAUGGACCUCAUGGUCCACACGGCCUCCAAGGAGUAAGGUCUCUGGACCCCCAGCCCCAGCAGGAGCACGAGAGGAAGAGAGAGUUCCUCAGCUGCUGGGGAGUCCUUGCCCCACCUCCAUCCUCCACCACACUGAGAAUCUCCCGACCUCCACAGUUUCCAUCCCCAAGGCCCUGAGGAAGGGGAGGGGCUUAGGGAGCCCUGCCUUGUCGUGUACCAUCAAUAAAAGUACCCUAUACC